GAUGAAGAACGUAGCGAAAUGCGAUAAGUAGUGUGAAUUGCAGACUUCAGUGAAUCAUCGAAUCUUUGAACGCACAUUGCGCCCCUUGGUAUCCCGAGGGGCAUGCCUGUUCGAGCGUCAUUUCACCACUCAAGCCUGGCUUGGUGUUGGGCGACGUCCCCUUUGGGGACGCGCCUCGAAACGCUCGGCGGCGUGGCACCGGCUUUAAGCGUAGCAGAAUCUUUCGCUUUGGAAGUCGGGGCCCCGUCUGCCGGAAGACCUACUCGCAAGGUUGACCUCGGAUCAGGCAGGGAUACCCGCUGAACUUAAGCAUAUCAAUAAGCGGAGGA
rnacentral:misc_RNA from 1 species